GCUCCAGGGCGAGACUCCUCCCGUCCCUGCAUCUUCCCCCCCCGCCCUUUGCGCGAGUUUCUUUCUCCGCGACCCUGCCGCGCCUGUCGAGACUACCAGCCUGCCACAGCGUCUCCUUGCCGCCACUCGCUCCCCUCGUAAGCGGCGCUGCCCAGACGGCGCAUGGCAACAGCGCCCGGCUCAGUCCAACGCUGGAAUCGCUGAGGUUUUGCUGAAUCGCUCAGUGGGCGAGCACAGACGUGCUGCCUUUGCAGCCUGAACUGUUCAUUCAUGAAGACAUAAUUAUCCUCAGAGUCCCUCCAACCUUCUUUGAAAAUUAGCAUCUGAACACAGAUAAGACAACUAACUGGAAUGAAAAAGGCAUCAUGGUAGAAAAUGGACUGGCAACGAGACAAAACAUAUGAUGAAGUUAUUUAAGUCUCUGGAGUAUUGGAUCUGAGACCCACAAUAAAAUACUUCAGUAACUGUGCUUCAGUUGAUGCAGUUUCUCCUAAUAAACAAGACAGCUAAGAACUAGGAGAGUUGGUUCCAUACUCACUGCGGCUACUGACUGGCAAUGCACCCACGUUUGAUAUUAAUAAUACAGAGCGAAUACUACAAUUAAAGAAAAAUCAUCUGCGAAUGUUUGCUUCGCACGUUAGUCCAGAAGAUCCUGGAAGUGAACAAGGAGUGGAAGCUCAAUUUGUAUAUGCAGAACUGGAAGCUGAGUGCUUGUUACAAUUCUUUCUCUGUUCUGAUCUGCAAAGGGUCAUUUGCUACAGCCAUCAAGAAUACAGUUAUGGCUCGACUGCACUAAUUACACUCUAGUCCUAUGAAGCGCCUAGUUCAUAUCCCACUCUGACACUGAGUGAAUUAGCAUGUGUAAUUUCAUCCAUUCUGAAGAAGAGGUAAGAUCCAGACUUCCUGAUGACAGCUAUUGAUAGCACUUGCACAUCCAGAUAUCCAUUGGGAAAGCAGGCUGAAACACUCAAGUAGUUUGCUUCCUUGGAGGAGCGAGUUGCCUACCAGGGGAUAUCUAGAUCUCUGGGGAAAUUCUACAAUAAAAGUCACAAUGUAGAUUUUGGAAUUCUGGGCAGGAAAUACAAAACAAAUCACAGCUGACAGUUUUCCAAUACCCAUUUCUUUGGUCAAGCUCAAAAUAUCAUCAUCAGGAAGUCCAGAUAUAUCAUUUGUCAAACACGGUAUUUCUACUGUGGUUUAUGUGAUAUGGUUCAGAUUACAAAAUCACUAGUAUCAGUGUAAGCCAGAAAUUUGGUGCAGACCAGAAAAUACCAAGCAGGAGAACAGGGCAGAGAAAAUCAUUUCCUUAUCCUCCAUUCCACUAAAACUUCAUGUGAUUGAACACUGUUCAACCAAAAUUCCCCAACUAGCUUGCAAAGAGCAGCUAAAUUGAGACUGGGGCUUCAUUUUAGCAGAGCAAUUACAAGCUUAGACUCACACAUCCACUAAACUUUUAGAAACCAUUAAAUAGAAAAGAAAAAAACAGUAAGUUUGUAUUGUGCUGCUUGGCAAACCUACAUUUCAGAUACAUUUUUUCUCCAAUUCACUCAGUGCAUCCUUUGGUUUUCCAUAAUUUAAGCAUAUGAUUCUUAUUCCAGACAUGCUGCAUGCUUCCUUGAAUAGAAAUCUGUAUCAAUGUCUUUGUAUUAGUGUCCCAAAACAUCAUCAACACUAAUGUUAGAACAGACAUCAAUGCAAUCAGAAAACCUGCAGUUGAUCAGUGUAAGAGAAGGCUGAGGGAUACUCAUGAAAAUCUUCAGUUACCUAUAUACUAAAAAAAAAAAAAAAAAAAAAAAAAAAAUUGCUGCAAAGAGGAGGGGAAUGCAUUAUUGAUCAAGCCACCGUGAGCAGAGAGAACAAGUAACAGGCUUCACUGGCAAUAAAUGUGGUGCAAGUCAGGAAUAAAGGAUGCUCUUUUUUAUCCCUCAGGAAAAGAUGAACAGCUCAAUCUUGGCAGUCAUGGGGUCCAAAUUCCUAGUUUCAUGGCCUACCAUCGAGCAAAAACAAGUGCUGCUCUGAAAGAAAAUGUGCAUUUGCAAAAAGAAGAGUGCUGCUAGCCUGUCCAGGCAUAACAAAGUGUCUCAGUUCUGUGCUGCAGGGAUAUUCAGCCAUCAGGACAGCAAUAUUGCCUGGAGGCUCUUCUUCCUCUUCUUCAAGAGAAAAGCAAUAGGUCUGAUCCACCAGUAAGCCAACAGUGGACCUGUGGCAAACAAAACAUCUGUCAAAAAAAUAGGGAAUGCCAAUGAAAAGACUGUCAGUUUUCUAAGGAGAGCCGCUUCCGUCUAUAACACAUCUCACAAUGGACCAAAAUAAAUGAACAUCAAAUCCUUCAGUCUGCCUUCAGCAAGAAAUCCUUUCAGGAGACCAGGACAAGAUGGUACACUGAGUUUAUGUGCUCAGCUUUUGAAGACAGCUUUGGAUGUUUUCCCUGGCAGUAGUGCUGUCAAAAGGUGGCUUUGGAUAGCUCCUUGUCAGUGAAGAAGGCAAACUCCUCUGUCAGAUUGUCCCUGUGGUCUGGGAUUGUGGCAUAAUACUCCUUAAUGUGAAAAUCAUAAAAGUUUGAGCAUUAUUUUCUAUUACAACACAUUUUAUGGAACACAUUUUUCUCUACUUCAGCAAUAUUUAAUGCUGAUUUGGGCUGAUUUUUUGAAAAACUCUUUAAAAGAAAGAACUUAUCUGGACAGACCAUAACUGUCAUUGUCCAGUUGGAGAGUGACAAUAAGUUCUGAUCUAAAGAUGUGAACUGGUGCUCAGAGAGGGAAUUAAUACCACUGUGUUUCUUUCUCGCGUAUGUACUUCCACAUCUCGUUUUAGGAUUAUCUCUAAAUUUGUGUGCUACUAGCUAACAUAUAAACAAAGGAAAACCUUCUGACUGCUUUUGCACUCAGAGUGAUUAUCUGCUCACAUCUUUAAUUUUACACCAUAAUUUGCAAGUAUAAUAGAGAAAGUUCUUUAGUGCAUUAAGAAACUUGUCUUCCUAUAUUCUUAAUCUCCAGCAUGAGGGUUGUUUCACCUCUUCCAUCUUCUUUCACUUAUCUUCCAGCAUCUUAAAUGUUUUCAUCCUUCUGCACCUCAGCAUUGUUACCAAAUGUCCAAUGCAUAUAGAAAAAAAAUACUGGAAUUACAGGUUAUUUGUACGUUCCAUUACAAACUGAAAAACUCUUUAUGAAAGUAUCCACGGUGAUAACUCUGAGCGCCCUGAACUUCAUCCUCAUAGGUGGCCACAAUUGAAUAAUUUAGAGGACCUUUCUAAGGGGCAAUAUGAGUUAAUUUUGCUAGCAUCAGAUUGAUCUUAUCUCAAGGACUUUAAGUUCUUCACUACUAAAUGUCAUGUACCUGUUGAAUAACAAGUAGGUUCUUUAACAGCAGUUUGAUUAAUUUCUAUGGUGAAUUAUUAUUUACAUAAUGCUCAAAAGGUAUUAGCUGCUUUAUAGACAAGUAUGAUGAAGAGAAAUUCUUGUCUCACAGAGUUCAGUCUGAGAAUUUGAUUCUGCAAAACUUUACUCACAGGAAUUUGCUGAAGUAAGCAGUCUUGCUCAACUCAGUGAGAAAAUUCAUGUAUAUAUAUUUAUUUAACCACAAACAAUUUUGGGAUGGUGUAUGUCAAAAUGUAUCACUGAACCUAUUUUCUCUUCCAUGGUAUUUAAAACUCAGCAGCCUAAACAAGGCAUAGGAACACAAGCAGAAAACUAUGCCUUCCAAAUCCAAUACUGUAAUCAAUUUCUCUAUUAAAGAAAAAGACAAAAUCAGA